UACCAGCACCCCGAGUGGUCGGGACGAUUAUUGGGCCUAAAGCAUCCGUAGCCGGUCCUACAAGUCUUCCGUUAAAUCCACCUGCUCAACAGAUGGGCUGCGGAAGAUACUAUAGGGCUAGGAGGCGGGAGAGGCAAGCGGUACUCAGUGGGUAGGGGUAAAAUCCUCUGAUCCAUUGAAGACCACCAGUGGCGAAGGCGGCUUGCCAGAACGCGCUCGACGGUGAGGGAUGAAAGCUGGGG
rnacentral:rRNA from 1 species